AGUUUGGACAUUGGGGGAAACCCUGAUCCAGCCUUCCUGCGUGUAUGAUGAAGGCCUUCGGUUGGUAAAGUACUCUUGGCAGAGAAGAAAAGGUAUCCCCUAAUACGAGAUACUGCUGACGGUAUUUGCAGAAUACGCACCGGCUACCUACGUGCCAGCAGCCGCGGUAAUACGUAGGGUGCAAGCGUUAAUCGGAAUUACUGGGCGUAAAGCGUGUGUAGGCGGUUCAGAAAGAAAGAUGUGAAAUCCCAGGACUCAACCUUGGAACUGCAUUUUUAACUGCCGAGCUAGAGUAUGUCAGAGGGGGGUAGAAUUCCACGUGUAGCAGUGAAAUGCGUAGAUAUGUGGAGGAAUACCGAUGGCGAAGGCAGCCCCCUGGGAUAAUACUGACGCUCAGACACGAAAGCGUGGGGAGCAAACAGG
rnacentral:rRNA from 1 species